rnacentral:rRNA from 1 species
UACGUAGGGGGCUAGCGUUGUCCGGAAUCAUUGGGCGUAAAGCGCGUGUAGGCGGCCCGAUAAGUCCGCUGUGAAAGUCCAGGGCUCAACCCUGGGAUGCCGGUGGAUACUGUCGGGCUUGAGUACGGAAGAGGCGAGUGGAAUUCCUGGUGUAGCGGUGAAAUGCGCAGAUAUCAGGAGGAACACCAAUUGCGAAGGCAGCUCGCUGGGACGUUACUGACGCUGAGACGCGAAAGCGUGGGGAGCAAACAGG